rnacentral:rRNA from 1 species
GCUUGCUGUUUCUGCUGACGAGUGGCGGACGGGUGAGUAAUGUCUGGGAAACUGCCUGAUGGAGGGGGAUAACUACUGGAAACGGUAGCUAAUACCGCAUAACGUCGCAAGACCAAAGAGGGGGACCUUCGGGCCUCUUGCCAUCGGAUGUGCCCAGAUGGGAUUAGCUAGUAGGUGGGGUAAAGGCUCACCUAGGCGACGAUCCCUAGCUGGUCUGAGAGGAUGACCAGCCACACUGGAACUGAGACACGGUCCAGACUCCUACGGGAGGCAGCAGUGGGGAAUAUUGCACAAUGGGCGCAAGCCUGAUGCAGCCAUGCCGCGUGUAUGAAGAAGGCCUUCGGGUUGUAAAGUACUUUCAGCGGGGAGGAAGGGAGUAAAGUUAAUACCUUUGCUCAUUGACGUUACCCGCAGAAGAAGCACCGGCUAACUCCGUGCCAGCAGCCGCGGUAAUACGGAGGGUGCAAGCGUUAAUCGGAAUUACUGGGCGUAAAGCGCACGCAGGCGGUUUGUUAAGUCAGAUGUGAAAUCCCCGGGCUCAACCUGGGAACUGCAUCUGAUACUGGCAAGCUUGAGUCUCGUAGAGGGGGGUAGAAUUCCAGGUGUAGCGGUGAAAUGCGUAGAGAUCUGGAGGAAUACCGGUGGCGAAGGCGGCCCCCUGGACGAAGACUGACGCUCAGGUGCGAAAGCGUGGGGAGCA